rnacentral:rRNA from 1 species
GAUGAACGCUGACAGAAUGCUUAACACAUGCAAGUCUUUGGCGAAGCUGUGCUUGCACAGCCUAGCCAAGGCGGACGGGUGAGUAACGCGUAAGGAACUUGCCCUGCAGUCAGGGAUAACAGACGGAAACGACUGAUAAGACCUGGUAAAGUCAGGCGGACUCAUGUCCAGCCUGAUGAAAAGAGAUGCUGCAGGAGAGCCUUGCGUCCUAUUAGCUUGUUGGUAGGGUAACGGCCCACCAAGGCGAUGAUAGGUAGCCGGCCUGAGAGGGUGGACGGCCACAAGGGGACUGAGAUACGGCCCUUACUCCUACGGGAGGCAGCAGUGGGGAAUAUUGGACAAUGGGGGCAACCCUGAUCCAGCAAUUCUGUGUGCACGAUGAAGGUUUUCGGAUUGUAAAGUGCUUUCAGCAGGGAAGAAAAAAUGACGGUACCUGCAGAAGAAGCGACGGCUAAAUACGUG